AUCUCUGCGUGACUUCCGCCAGCGUUUAGAGCGUUUUCGGGGUCCGAGUUGAAGAGCAAAACCAAGUGAAGGAAACUUCACUAAGUUCAGGGUGACAAGGGAGGAAGUACAGAGAAACAGAGCGCUUAAAAAGCACUGUCUGGAUAUCUUCAGAGGGAAAAAGGAGAAAGUUAACUGAAUUGGUGACACUUCGGGUCUCUCACAGAGGAAGAGACCACCAAACCAACAGAAGCCACCAGGACAGCACACAGCCAUUCCAAAAUUCCAGACCAGGAUCAUUCCAGAAAAGCCUUACAUCUCAGUCCAGUAUAUGGAUGGUUUUGUAAGAUGACCUAUGAUUUUUCUGUUCCUCCUUCCUGCCCCUAACUUCAGAGAAACAGACCUAGAAAGAGGGAAGGAAGGAGUGAAAAAGCGUGCCAUACUUUAUCUUCUCCCCUUCUGUUUUAAACUAGACAAAUCUAUAUUUUAAUUAUUAUAAGUAACCAGAAAGUUAUAUGGUCUGGCCAGGAUGGCAUUAAAGAAAAUGAGAGAGAAAAGUUUAAGAUAGCAUGGUUGGAGACAAUAAGUAGAAGAAACCAAGUAGUUCAAGUUUUAUAACGCUCUAUCUUAUAAACACUCUUGAACCAAUAAUAAUGCUAUUACUGAAAUGCUACACACAAUUGAAGACUACUUGUUAGACCAAGACCUUAAAAACUUCUUUACUGAUUAUUCCCAAUGUGUGGCCCUGGUAAUCAUUGAAGAAUCAUUGUAUUGACUAUUAAACAUCUAGGGAUCACCUGUUUAAAUCAAGUUAACAAAACACUUACUUAACAAAUAUAUAUUGAUUGCCUAUUAUGAAGUAGAUGCUAUAGUAGGUGCUGGCAGUAUAAACAUGAAAAGAGACAUUGUGUGUGCAUAUUAAUAUACAGCAAAUUAAACUUCAGCCAGAGAAGUACUUUACUAGAAGGUUGAUAGAAGUGUGGUGGUAGCUUGCAGGAGGAAGCAGUUAGCCUCCUUGGAAAUGAGUAAUCUUCACAGAAAGUAUGACAUUUGACCUGCUUCUUGGAGAAGAUGCAUAUUAAACCUAUUAAAUCCAUGUCAGCCUUUAACACCUUUGCUCAGAUUAGUUUCUCGAGCUGUUUUCCCACCUGGUGAGCAGAUAAGAGCAGGACAGGAAAGUUCUGAUGAAAGGAAGAAGUGCCAGAGAGAGAAGGCCUUGCAAGCAAAGAAGCCUGACAGGCAGGAGCCCCUGAGUAUCCUAAGGAGAAGUACCAGCGAUUUAGGGAAGAAAAUUGCUGCCAGAAGUGCAGGAAAUAAAAAUUCUGACCUAGAUCAUUUUA
rnacentral:lncRNA from 1 species